rnacentral:rRNA from 1 species
AUUGAACGCUGGCGGCAUGCUUUACACAUGCAAGUCGAACGGUAACAGGUUAAGCUGACGAGUGGCGAACGGGUGAGUAAUGCAUCGGAACGUGCCCGAUCGUGGGGGAUAACGCAGCGAAAGCUGCGCUAAUACCGCAUACGAUCUGAGGAUGAAAGCGGGGGACCGUAAGGCCUCGCGCGAUCGGAGCGGCCGAUGUCAGAUUAGGUAGUUGGGGGGGUAAAGGCUCACCAAGCCGACGAUCUGUAGCUGGUCUGAGAGGACGACCAGCCACACUGGGACUGAGACACGGCCCAGACUCCUACGGGAGGCAGCAGUGGGGAAUUUUGGACAAUGGGCGAAAGCCUGAGCCAGCCAUUCCGCGUGAGUGAAGAAGGCCUUCGGGUUGUAAAGCUCUUUCGCAAGGGAAGAACACUUACUUAAUAACACUAAGUGAGGUUGACGGUACCUUGAUAAGAAGCACCGGCUAACUACGUGCCAGCAGCCGCCGUAACAC